GCGGAGGAAAAGAAACCAACUGGGAUUGCCUCAGUAACGGCGAGUGAAGCGGCAACAGCUCAAAUUUGAAAUCUGGCGCCUUGGGCGUCCGAGUUGUAAUUUGUAGAGGGAGUCUCGGGUUAAGGGUCGGUCCAAGUGCCUUGGAACAGGAUACCGAAGAGGGUGAGAGUCCCGUAUCCGGCCGACGCCAGCGCCCGUGUGAGGCCCCUUCGACGAGUCGAGUUGUUUGGGAAUGCAGCUCUAAAUGGGUGGUAAAUUCCAUCUAAAGCUAAAUACUGGCCAGAGACCGAUAGCGCACAAGUAGAGUGAUCGAAAGAUGAAAAGCACUUUGAAAAGAGAGUCAAACAGUACGUGAAAUUGUUGAAAGGGAAGCGUAUGUGGGCAGACUUGGACGCUGGAUUCAGGCCGCCUUCUGGCGGGUGUAUUUUCCAGCGGACAGGCCAGCAUCGGUUCUGAGGGCCGGACAAAGACGAAGGGAAUGUGGCUCCUCUCUGGGGAGUGUUAUAGCCCGGCGUGCAAUGCGGCCACUUGGACCGAGGACCGCGCAUUUGCAAGG
rnacentral:rRNA from 1 species